GCCAGGGGUGGUGGUGUAUGACAAUAAUUCCUGCUACCAGGAGGCUGAGGCUGAUGGAUGGCUUGAGCUCAGGAGUUCUGAGCUGCAAUGGUCUAGGUUGAUUCUGUGUGUGUACUAAGUUCAGUAUUAAUAGAAUGGUGAUGGGGGAAUAAGGUUGCCUAAAGAGGGGUGAACCGACCUGGGUUAUAAAUGAAGCAGGUCAGAACUCCUAUACUGAUCAGAGUGAAUGGGACCAGGUCUAUGAGUGGCUCCUGCACUUCUAUCCUGGGUGAAAUGGGGAAAUCCAGUCUUUA
rnacentral:SRP_RNA from 1 species